rnacentral:rRNA from 1 species
UACGUAGGGGGCGAGCGUUGUCCGGAGUUACUGGGCGUAAAGCGCACGCAGGCGGUCUGCUAAGUUUGGAGUGACAGUUGGUGGCUUAACUGCCAAAGUGCUUCGAAAACUGACAGACUUGAGGGCUUCAGAGGGACACGGAAUUCCGGGUGGAGUGGUGAAAUGCGUAGAGAUCCGGAGGAACACCAAAGGCGAAGGCAGUGUCCUGGGGAGUACCUGACGCUCGAGGUGCGAAAGCCAGGGGAGCGAACAGG